AAUUCAAAUGCUUUUUACAAUGAAAAGAAAGAGAGUUUCAUCUCAUUUCUCUACCAGGGUAGAUGUCUUGAACUUUUCAGAA